CCUCUUGACUAACAAUAAGAGGUCUAGCCUGCCCAGUGAAAAAAUUCAACGGCCGCGGUACCCUAACCGUGCAAAGGUAGCAUAAUCACUUGUUCUUUAAAUAAGGACCUGUAUCAAAGGCAUCACGAAGGUCAUACUGUCUCCUCUCCCAAAUCAGUGAAACUGAUCUCCCCAUGAAAAAGCGGGGAUAUUACUAUAAGACGAGAAGACCCCAUGGAGCUUUAAACUUUAUAGCAACUUAGCAGAAUAGUUCAUCAUAGCUACAAAACCAUGCUAGCAGUUUUUGGUUGGGGCGACCGCGGAGUAAAAACUAACCUCCACAACAAAAAGAACUAAAUCUUUAUCCAAGAGCCACUACUCUAAGAAUUAGAAAACUAAUGUAAAAUGACCCGAUUAUCGAUCAACGAACCAAGUUACCCUGGGGAUAACAGCGCUAUCUACUUCAAAAGUUCAUAUUGACAAGUAGGCUUACGACCUCGAUGUUGGAUNCAGGGUNAUCCUAAGUGGUGCAGCCGCUACUGAAGGUUCGUUUGUUCAACGAUUAAAACCC
rnacentral:rRNA from 1 species